rnacentral:rRNA from 1 species
GACGAACGCUGGCGGCGUGCUUAACACAUGCAAGUCGAGCGGUAAGGCCCUUUCGGGGGUACACGAGCGGCGAACGGGUGAGUAACACGUGGGUGACCUGCCCUCAGCUCUGGGAUAAGCCUGGGAAACCGGGUCUAAUACCGGAUAUGACUCCAUGACGCAUGUUGUGGGGUGGAAAGCCUUGUGCGGCUGAGGAUGGGCCCGCGGCCUAUCAGCUUGUUGGUGGGGUGAUGGCCUACCAAGGCGACGACGGGUAGCCGGCCUGAGAGGCGACCGGCCACACUGGGACUGAGACACGGCCCAGACUCCUACGGGAGGCAGCAGUGGGGAAUCUUGCGCAAUGGGCGAAAAGCCUGACGCAGCGACGCCGCGUGAGGGAUGACGGCCU